UGCAGCACACAAGUAUCAGCGCCCGGUUAGGAUAUCUAUGAACCGCAAGACUGAUAUGAUAAUGGCAGGAGGAAGGCAUCCUAUGAAAAUAACUUACAGUGUAGGAUUCAAAUCUAAUGGGAAAAUUACUGCCUUGUAUCUUGAUAUAUUAAUUGAUGCUGGCAUAUCUCUAGACAUAAGUCCUAUGAUGCCAAAAGCAGUUGUGGGUGCACUUAAAAAGUAUAAUUGGGGUGCUUUAUCUUUUGAUAUAAAGUUAUGUAAAACAAACCUUUCAAGCAAAUCAGCAAUGCGGGGGCAUGGAGACCUGCAAGGAUCAUACAUUGCAGAAGCCGUAAUUGAACAAGUGAUCCUCUAGAAUAUACUUUAACUUCAAUAUGGGAUAAGUUAGCCACAUCUGCAUGCUUUAACCAAAGGACUCAAAUGAUAAAAGAGUUUAAUAGGUAUAAUAUUUGGAAGAAAAGAGGUAUUUCUCGAAUACCUUGUGUGUAUGAUGUGUCAAUGAGGCCAACUCCUGGAAAAGUAAGCAUUCUAAGUGAUGGGUCUAUUGUUGUUGAAGUUGGAGGAAUAGAGCUGGGUCAGGGGCUUUGGACAAAGGUAAAACAAAUGGCUGCAUUUGCUCUCAGUUCAAUCAAAUAUGAUGGAGAUGCAGACUUCUUGGAUAAAAUACGAGUCAUACAAGCUGAUACUUUGAGUUUAAUUCAAGGAGGGAUCACUGGUGGGAGCACUACAUCUGAGUCAAGCUGUGAAGCAGUCAGACUUAGCUGUGAAGCAUUGGUUGAGAGACUGAUACCUCUAAAGGAAAGGUUGCUGAUGCAAACGGACUCAAUAAGAUGGGAGAAACUUAUCCAACAGGCAUAUUUGGAAGCUGUGAACUUAUCAGCGAAUUCUUUCUUCAUUCCUGACUCUGCUUCAACAAAUUACUUAAACUAUGGUGCUGCUGUGACUGAGGUGGAAGUAGAUCUUCUGACAGGGCAAACAACAAUUUUGAGAUCAGAUAUUUUACAUGAUUGUGGACAAUCUCUUAACCCUACUGUGGAUCUCCCUUAGAUAUGGUGCGGGGCAGACAUACUACUAGUGUUUCCCAAACACCAUCUACUAAUAAGGACGAUGAGCCUUUGACACCUCUUUCAUAGCGGUCAGUCCAAGCUGACACACCUGUGGUUGGCCAAGAGCAUACACUUACAAAUGGCUAAGAGCCUUUACCUAAUCGUUCAUAGGGUUCUCACUUGAACCAGAAUCAGAGAUUGAUUCAGUAAGAAGAAUAUGCCUUAGAGUUCGAGAAGGAAACAAGUUUUCUCUCGGAUCCUCAGCAGCUCGAGUGAUCAUGAACUCCUUUAAGCAACAGAUACACCUUGCAAGUGUCAUGUGGAAGAGUGUCCCAAAAGAAAUCAAGGACUUUUACUAGGAGGAAUUCAAGAAAAAUAUUACUAGACUACUGCUGAGGAACCAGGGGUAAAGGGUUGUUGGCAAUCAAAGGCUGUUGAACGAUACAAGGACAUGAUAUAUGAUUUCAAGGCGAAGAGAAAAAGGCCCCAAUAUGUUAGUGAAGAAGCAUGGGCUUGAUUUGAGUAGCAUUGGGAGGACCCUUCUGUCAUUCGACGAUCUGAGACUAAUUUGAGAAAC
rnacentral:misc_RNA from 1 species